AUUGGUGAUGUUUGUGUUCGGUCUUGGUAGAACAAACGAGUUUUCCGAUGGCAUAGGUAUUUUCCGGCGACUUCUAAGUCUUGACCCGUCUUUCAGGUGAGUUUGGUUUAUUUAUUAUGUUUUCCGACCAGAUUUUGUAUUCAUUUUUGUUGUUUUCAAGCUUCAGAGUGGUGGUUUAAAGUGUAUAGACGCGCACACUCGAACUGUUUAGUGUUUAGUUACUUAUUUUAUAUUAAUUAUUGUAGAUUGUAUAUGAUAAUUACAUACACAUGUGGGUCAAAAUAAGCCUAAAAGACAUGAAUCCGUUCAUAAAUACAUAUUUAAGAACGAGUGGUAGUUAAUGAUAAUCGAGACUUGGGACAAAUAUAAUAUUAAACGUGCUGGCGAUCUAUUCGAACCCAUUUUCGUUGUAACCUGUAUUCUUAGCUUGAACUGAAUUGAACGUUUUUAAACAAGUAAGAUUCUGAACAUGAAUACAUUUACACUUUUUAGAUUAUGCUUCACUGAAUUUGAAUGUUUUGUUUUGUUUAUUAGUUUCUUUUCUUAUAAAGUCUUUCAAUCAUUUACCGGAUCGGUCUUUAAAUCGGCUUCAAACAAGGUUCGUUGUUCCAUGAAUUUUUGAACUGAUUAUGGCAAGGCAUGUUUUUCUCUUCUGAAUUUUUAGUUACCAAUAUGGUUUAUAUAUGUACUUUUUGAAUUUUUUUUCGUUUAUCAUUCUGGUUUUUUUCUUUUCGAUGAUGAGAUCAGUGUUGGGGCCUACUCAAACUGCUAUAACGAUGCAUCUCGAUCAACGAGGUACGCAAGGCAAUUGAGAAGCACGCAUCGAUUGACAAGAUCAAACAGAAGCUUGGAGAUGAGUAUUCGCAGUAUUUAUCUGAUUGGAUCAAAGUUCCUAAUAUUACCGAGUUCCACUUUCUAGUUGCAUCGUAGAAAUUAUGGCUGAAGGGAAGAGUGAGAUGGAUAAGGAUGUUACGGAGAUCAAAAAGUGGAUUGUAUGAUAUAUAUGUCGAGAUUAUUAAGGUAAAUUUCACUCUUUCAUAACUCAUUAGGGCUGAGGAAAUGCUACCGGGAACUGGUUCGGUUCGGUUCAGAACAGGUACCGAAUUUAUCGAACCGACUGGAUUUUCGAUACUGAAAUUUAGCGAUUUCGGGUACAGAACCGUACCGUACCGGGUAUUUUCGGUACCGGUACCCAUGUUCUGAGAUUUUUCUGCACAAGUUGGUACUAAGCCCAUCCCUACUCCUCAUAUACACACACUCAUACAUAUUUAUAUAUUUGUAACAUGUUUAAUUAUUUAAAUUUUCAGUAAUUGGUUGUUAUGUUUAUAGGUUACAUUAUUGAUAAACGACUGAAAGUUAAUGGAUUAGAGAUUGAACUUUAAAUAAUGGAAAUUUGAUUUGAGUUACUAAGAUGCAUCCUGUAUGAACUUAUUCAUUUAUGUAUGGUUAUUUUAGAGCAAUAGAUAUUACAAAGGUUUCAUGAUUUUUUUUUUUUUUUUUUUUUUUUGUGAGCAAAGAACCACUCAUCAUUUAAUUGCAAUACUUGAAUUAUUUGACACAUAAGGUAACUCUUUGAGUGUAUGAAAAUGGGAAGUUAGAUUAUUCAAAUAAUAUUCUUAGGACAUGUGUACUUAUGGUUGAGCUUUUAGUAAUUUAUUUUGGUGAUGUUUGCGGGUCUUUUGGCUAACUUUGAAGUAGAUAAGGCAUAAAUUAGAAUUUAGAUUAUUGGAGCAAUUUCGAUAACAUAUAUGCACUUUUGGAGUUUGAUGAUUGUGACGCAAUUUACUUCUAAAGUCAAAGGUAAUAUAUGUUAGUUGCAACGCGCUGGGCAAAGGUAAGCGUUUUUUAUGCAAAGUUUUAGUGGUUAACUGGUUAUACAAUGUAUAUUUAUAACUAUGGACGUGUUUGGGUCGGGAUGGAUUCGGUUCAGAUUUGGUCCCGAUCAGAGUUCGCUUUGGGUCCAAAGAGGUUGGGUCAUUACGGGUUUGUGUCAUAACGAAUCGAAAAAAGGGUUAUUUUUUCUGGUCGGUAGUGGUUUCGGGUUGAUUCGGGUUUAGGUGUCGAUGAGGUUCAGGUGGGUUUUGGUCUGAUUUGAUGGUGGGUAAGAAUGAUUUCGGGUCAUUACAUGUUCGUGUCAUAACGGGUGGACUCAAUAGAGGGUUAUUAUGUCUCGGGUCAGCACAGGAUUCGGGUCAGUAAGGGUACGGGUGUCGUUAUCAUAUACUAACUUUCAUCUCAAAAGCAUUUUAGUGUUUUUUACGUAAUGCUUUUCUACAUUUAAUUACUACACACUUUAUUAUUGUAAUGUCUACAAAAAGAUUAGAGAUUUACAAGUUUUGGCAUUGCCAUGUAAUGUUUGAAGUUUUAAUAUUUUUUAUGAGAUUUUACCAAAGAAAACAAAGUACAUUUUUUAGAAGUUUAGGUAGUUUGUCCUUCGUUUUUUUUGGUUGCUAUUUAAUUAGUUUCUUCUCACGGUUUGAUAUACGAAGACUGUUAUUUGUUUUUCCAGUUUGAAGUGCGGGUUGUUUAGCGGAGAUCAUUCCGAGUCAACAUCCACUCAGUGUACUAUCGAUCUUAUAUGCUAAGGUUGUCGGCCGAACCUACACUGUUAUCGGUACACUGGAUCCCCGCUGUAACGCACGAGUUAGAGACCAACUAACUUAUAUUAAACAACAAGAUGAAAGCACCGGUUGAGUUUUAACAUCAUCUAAUGUGGAGAUUGGAGAAAGUGCUAAGUAUGUGGUGAUUGAUUACCUGUUGUAUGUUUUUGUGAUUCUGACAAUUUGGAUAAGAUGUGGACUGCAAAAAAAGUGAAUAUAACUUAGUUUCUUCUUUUAUUAGAUCGGGAAGUGAUGAUUCUUAUUCAUGACAUUAUCAUCAUUAUGCAUGACAACUCAAGUUGUAAUUAUGAAUGAAAUAUAACAUAGGUUUUACUAUUAUCUAUAGUACCAACUUUAGUGCCAUCGUUGCUUAUAAAAGGCAUCUCAACCGUUUGUUUAAUUUGUGUAGAUAAAUCCAAGGCUUAAAUGAGGUACGAGAAUAUGUAUUUGGUAUAAAUUGCAUGCGUGACGAUACCAAAACUGCAAGCUCCGAUAUGUGUAUGGGAGCAAAGAACUCCACCACUCAAUCUUACCAGUGAUUACUUUGUAGCAAAGAGUAUUUGUCAAUUAGCAUGUGUACCGAAUAAAUUACUUUUUGUAUGAUUUAGUUAUGUGUUAAUCAUAAAUAGCUUUACUAUGA